rnacentral:misc_RNA from 1 species
CAAGAAUCGAGGCUGACGGUGUCUACUCCCUAGGCUCCGUCCAGUCCCGCUCUCUACCUUGCCCACUGCACCGUUUGUUGCUUCCUGGCGGCGUCCCGUCGCCAGGGCCUUUUGAAAGCCAAGUAUAAGCAUUGAAACUUCUGACAUACACUAAAUCGUA